GCCAGCCCUGCCUGGGCCUCAGACCCCCUCCACCCACCCACCCCCAGUCACAAGCCCCAGCUCUUCAUGUGCUGUGGGAACUCCCCUAGGCCCAUCUGGCUUCUCCUGUGCUGAAAGGCUGCAGAGUGACAGGCCAGAAACCCGAUUCAGUGUUUAUUCACUAAACACUGAGAGAGCCCUCCUGAGUCUCCUCCCCACCCAAAGCCUCUGCUACUUGGGGGGGGGGCGAGGGGGGGCACUGUCCAUCUGCCAUGCUCAGCAUACCUGGUGUACUUGCCCCAGGAGAUCAGACACAAGGAGGAGCAUCCAGACUGGCCAUGAAGCAAGAGAAAAUCUGGUAAGGCGGAAGAAAGAACUGCCACCCGGUGGCAUCAGUCGAAAGAGGAGGAACCCCAAGUCCUGUGGAUUCUGGAUGGAGCUGAGAAGGCACCUUGACUGAAAACGGGGCACACCACUGCACUCUGCACAGCCCCAGGUGCUCCGUGUAGCCCACCCUCAGUCUUCUCUGCUGGAGGUCUCCAGAUCUGUGGCUCUCCCAGUGUCGCUGGCUCUCAGGCCUCCCCUCUCAGCACCAAAUCCAGCUGUGCAAACCCCCUUCUGGCCCAGGAGGACCUCAGCCUUGGACACGGGGGUGCUGCGGGGCUCCUCCACGGGGAAUUCCUGGGAAGGUUUUGUUCACCAGGGAUGGCAGAUGAGGUUCCUCGGUUCCAGCCUCAGCUUGAGCAUGUUCCUGGGGCACAGCAGGACAGGAAGCUCCGAGGGCCGAAGGAACUCCAUGUGGAGUAUUUCCUGCUCCACUUCUCACUCCCUUCAAUGCUGUCCCAGACUACAGGGCAGCCCGUGGGACUCACAGAAAGGAGUGAGCUACAACAGACACCAUUCGGGCAGAAAG